rnacentral:rRNA from 1 species
UACAGAGGGUGCGAGCGUUGUCCGGAAUCACUGGGCGUAAAGGGUGCGUAGGCGGUCGUGCAAGUCGGAUGUGAAAUCUCAGGGCUCAACCCUGAAACUGCAUUCGAUACUGCGCGGCUAGAGUGCUGGAGGGGAGACUGGAAUUUACGGUGUAGCAGUGAAAUGCGUAGAUAUCGUAAGGAAGACCAGUGGCGAAGGCGAGUCUCUGGACAGCAACUGACGCUGAGGCACGAAGGCCAGGGGAGCAAACGGG